CACGCGGUCGUGGCAGGCUCUAACAGGCUGCAGAGAUGAGGGAAGCAGGCAGGAAGCUCAGAAGAAAGCCAAUCGAUGACCCUUAGAAGGAACCAGCACGAGGUUGCCUUCUAAUUCACGUGUCUCAUCAUUUCACUGAAGAUGUAUGGAACGCUUCCCCCUUUCAAAGUGUUAAGUACUUUGCUGUCAGCAUCACCAUCACAGCCUGCGAACUCGACACUAAAGAGAGAGAAGUGGAAAAGGCAAAUUUUGGAGAAAAUAAGCAGAAGGCAUGGGGACUGGAAGUUGUGAGGUACGAUGAGGCUUUUGCUGAUACAGGAAUGAUGUCCUCACCCACUGGGCCAUAGGAGUGGCCUCCCAGGAUCAAAGAACAUGGGGAGCCAGCACUGCCAGGACGAAGAAAGAGCUUCAUUACUAUGAACUUGCUUGUGGCUGGAGGAAUUGAAGUGGAGACGCUGACUCCCGUGAGCUUGGAGACUGCAGGGAUGACAACCUUAUGUUACAUUGAUGUGUUCUCAUUUUUGUUGAGUAUGACUAUACUUCUGUACAUUUUAUUUCACUCUUUAAACAUUUAUG
rnacentral:lncRNA from 1 species